rnacentral:rRNA from 1 species
UGCCAGCAGCCGCGGUAACACGGGGGGCGCAAGCGUUAUUCGGAAUUAUUGGGCGUAAAGGGUGCGUAGGCGGUCCGACAAGUCAGAGGUGAAAUGCACGAGCUUAACUGGUGAAUUGCCUUUGAAACUGUCGAGCUAGAAUUAUGUUGAGGUCAGCGGAAUGAGUCAUGUAGCGGUGAAAUGCAUGGAUAUGACUUAGAACACCAAUUGCGUAGGCAGCUGGCUGGGCAUAUAUUGACGCUGAGGCACGAAAGCGUGGGGAGCGAACAGGAUUAGAUA